rnacentral:rRNA from 1 species
UACAGAGGUCUCAAGCGUUGUUCGGAUUCAUUGGGCGUAAAGGUGCGUAGGCGGCGCGGUUAAGUCGGGUGUGAAAAUCUCGGGAGCUUAACUCCCGAAACUGCAUUCGAUACUGCCGUGCUUGAGGACUGGAGGAGGAGAACUGGAAUUUGACGGUGUAGCGGUGAAAUGCGUAGAUAUCGUAAGGAGGACCAGUGGCG